AGAUGGAGGGCAUUGACAGAAGAACAUGCAAGAGAUAGUUUUGAGAAUCUUCUCUUUAGUGUAUGCCGGUUCCGAGAGCUUACUGGCACAUAUCCUGAAAACAUAACAGUUGUAAGUUAUGACUUCAAGAAAGAAAGAUUUUCACACUUGCAUCGCUCUGCAAUUCGCUUUCCGGAUUUGAGGUUCUUUUACAAUGGCACCCCAGCAACAUCAACUUCCAAAGAAGCAGCUUUGAAAGGUGAGGCAUUGGU
rnacentral:misc_RNA from 1 species